AGCAGCCUAUCUAUAUCUUUCAGAGUGGUCUUUGUGGCUCAGGCUCUGAUUUGGACCUGAAGAUUCUGCUACCUAUUCUGAAUAGUGCUUGACUACACCACCCAUCCAGCUCACCUAACAGAUAGCUGUAUUCAUGUGGCCAAGUUUCACCUGAUGGCAUUGCCUAAGGGACUGAGCUGAGCUUGUAAGAAGAGCACGCCUGCUUGCUAAUGAUGACAGCGGUAGCAGAAUUCCAUCUAGGGCUGGAUACCAAGGCCAGUAAUGCCUGUAAUCUCAGCACUUUGGGAGACCAAAGUGGGAGGAUCACUUGAGCCCAGGAAUUCAAGCCCACCCUGGGCAACACAGCAAGACCCUGC